GUUGGCAAAGCAAGGUUCUGA
rnacentral:miRNA from 1 species